UUUUAUAAUUUAUAGGUUUCAUUGCAGGCUUUAUUCACAACCCCUUUUCUUUUCUUCUUCUUCACACAACAGUGGCUGUGACUGACUACCUCAACAGGACUUACUGUGAAGCAUGUUGUCCGAAGAUUGUGGCCAUCCUUGGAAUGACAUCAAGUAAUGACUUAAUGGACCUUUGAAGAUGUCUGAAAGAUCAUCCCAAAAAUCCAAGUGUCCUAGAUGGUGUGGUUCCUUCAGCAUCAGGUGCAGUGUCUGAAGCUGGGAGAAGAAAUCAUUGGUGCCACAGCAGCUGGAGGGCCAUUUGACUUCAGGAAGCAGAAAUCAUUGGUGGAUUCCAGCAGCUGGAGGGCCAUUUGACUUCAGAAUUGCUGUUAUUGGCUUGGAAUCUGCAAUCAACACUUGUUUGUAUUGUUUGCUAAAUGGAUCAUCACUUGAAUAAAGCUUUGUAACUGUAAACUGGUUUA